UUGCUUUGGCAGUAAAGAUGCUAAAAGUGGAACAAUACAGGGAAAAUUAGCAUGGCCCCUGUUCAAGGAUGAUACACAAAUUGGUGAAGUCCUCUAGUUUGCA